GCUAGACGUCAAUCUUGUCUUAUAGGUUUGAUCGAAUUAAAGAGUUUAAUUCGAUCACCAAUUAGAAAGGAUUCUAAUUGUUAAGUUCGGAUUCGCACAGUUUGGACUUAAAUCGAUUAGAAGAGUUCUAAUCAAGUUGGGUCAACUUGCACUCACACCUAUUGCUGGCUAAGUAUGGAACCCAAUGGGUCACACACAAGAAAACUUAUCAAGGGUCUAAUUGAUUAGAUCAUGUUUGCAAGAUAAACAUCCUAGCAGGUGUUGCAAACCUUAGCUCCUGAUUCGAAUUGGAUUCGAAUCUG
rnacentral:lncRNA from 1 species